GAAAUACAAACUUUUCAAUUCGAAGUUAAGUUAAAAAACAUACUUGGAAGUAUUAAGUAGAAAAACGACUAAGUUUGUUUUUAUUUCAAAACACUGUCGUAUUUUCGCCAUAAACCUCUUCAUCCGAAAACAUUUUUAGUUGAUUUAAGUACCUGAAUUAGCUUUUUAAAAUACCUACAAUUUUAUGUGAAAUAAUAGUUUUCAACUUCGAAGUUAAAGGGCGCAAAAUAGACUUGGAGUUCGAGUAGAAUACUGAAUUUCGUCAAUUGUUUUAUCCACAAACCCACUCGGUAUUUUUGCCAUAACUUCUUCAUACGAAAACAUUUUUAGCUUGAUUCAAGUGUCCCGGAAAUAGCUAUUUUAAAUACCACACAUUAUUUGAAAUAAGGUUUUCAAAUUCAAAUCGACAAUGGCCCAAAACAGACUUGCAAGUUCAAACAGAAAACUGAGUUUUUUUCGAUUUUUUCAAGUUCAGCGAGUUGAAAAUUUUUUCGACAGUUUAGAUAACAAAAUUAAUUUAAUACAAAACAUGUAUGGUUAGCUUAGUACUUAAAAAAAAUCAACUUGUUACUAAUAAAUACUUAAGUAAAUAUAUUAAUCGUAUUAUGUCGACAAAUGAAUAUAUAGGAAUCUAUCGUUACCUAAGGAACAAGACGAGCGAGUUUUUAACACAAUACCCAAGCAAGCAAAGUAAGUAACCUUAAUCUCUAAAGUAGAAUAAAUUACUUUUUGAUGUUAUAUGUAUCAUGAAAUUAUGUUAGGCUAAUCAAAUUAAAUCCCUGGCUUAGAUGAUAAUGUUUUGAAAAGAUUUUGUAUGUAUAUGCCUAUGUACCAUCAUGUUUCUAACCUUUUGGCAGGUACUUGUCCAGCAUACCCCUAUCAAGGGGUUGUGAAAUCACGUUAUCAAACCCGACUAUAAGGACGGGAGGUCAUAGUGCAUAAUGUAAUGUUUCAAGAAUUAGUUGACUCUGAUAUAGUCAAAAUACAAGUACAAGGCAUGAAUUUUGAACAAGUUAUUGCGAAAGAUGAAAUGUUUUAAUCUUCUCCAUGCUAUGUAUGUUUUUAUGCAUCUACAAUUGUAUUUUUAUGUUUUGAUAUGUAUGAUAAAACCUAUGUUAAGAUUAUUGUAUACGCUAAAGCAAAGUGCUUAAGGAAUUAUUGGUUUUUGACAAUAUUUCAGGUGCUUAAAGGAAAGCAAAGUGGAGUAAAUAAGUAUGAACCAUGUUAUGUAAUAAGAACAACAAAUUUAUGUAGUAUUCGGACUAGAAAUGUCCGAUAGCUUUUGAUCUGUAAUGUAUUUGAAGUAAUGUAUAAUGUUAACAGGUACAGUCCUCUACCGUCAUGGGCAUGUAUUUCAAAUGAAGGAAUUUACUAUUGAUUUUAUUAACUCCAAAAAUCAAUUUAUAUGUUUUCGUCUUCCGCACACGAAAAGUUUUUAAAAAAAAAAAAAAACAAAAAGUUUAAAAAAAAAUAUUUUACUAAGGAAAAUCAAAGUGACGACGCUCGAUGCGCGUUGAUCACGUUGGGGCGUCGGGUGGGUCGUUACAUAAGCCACUAAUAAUGAAGCUGAGUAUGUAGCCCCUUCUCGCCGGUCUUAGAUGGCGAACGGAAUUAGGAGCACCAUCCCUGGUGUCUCGGUAACUCGCAAACUAGUGGUAAACCAAGUUCAAGGAGACUACCCUCGCCAAGGACCAACAGGAUGGUGGCUUAUUUGGGCGAGGUAAAGGUCCGCUUUCGCAAAAACAAGGAGUUCAAAAAUUCGCCAAAUCCCCCGGGAAGAGAAUUAGAAAGGCUAUGCCCUUAGCUAAUCUCACCUCAAACUUUGAGUCUAUUUCAGAUAGAUUGCAUACCUCUGAAUUCCUAGCUAGCCGAGCAUUGAGGUCCGCAAUCAAGUCCUUACGUAGGAGACAUCCCAACGUGGUUGGAUGAAUUUAUUGCUUAGCUCCACUCCAGGAGGGUACACUGCCGCGAGAUUAGAAUCCAGCUCACCUAUCGGCAGUACAGUAGGGUCAGACAAGAUUGUUGGGGGGCAUCUUCAAAGGAGAAUUAACAAAAGAUCUUUUUGGGGACCACUUUUGAAAUAUGCGGGUCACCACACGAGGAGAAUAUGUCGAAAAAAGAAAUACACGAAGCGUCUGGGGGGAACCAUUCUGGGGCAAGGUCAUUGGCUGGAACACAAUUCGCUAAAGGGAAUGUUUGGACUAGCUUGGAACUAUUGCAGCCUGCAUAUAUAAAGAAAAUGCGACCAAGUGUCAAAGGUUUGCCCCCGUUUCCAUCUCCCCCACACCGAGAUGGUGCCAUAUCUAAAGAAAUGCGACAGUGUCAAAGGUUGGCCCCGUUAGCCAUCUCCCCCACACCGAGAUGGUCCGAUGUCAAGCCCUUGGCCUUUUGCCCAAGUGGGGAAUGACAUUGUACUAGCACCUACCGGUCGCGGAGCUCCCCUGCAAAAGAAAUUUCGGAUCGUUGCCGAUAACUAUUCACUAAAUGGAUCGAAGCUCACUCUCACAGCAAAAUACCGAGAAGAAUACUCGGAUUUUUUUGUGAAAUCCAACCUCGUUGCAGAUCGGAAUCCCAAAAGUUAUUGUCUCGGACGCCCGGCAGUUAAUUUGACAAUAACGUUUUUAAAAUAUUCUGUCGGGAUCUUCGCCAUCUCCCAUCAUUUCUCCUCUCCAGGGCAUCCUCAGGCAAUGAGCAAGUAGAAUAUCCAACCGACUAUCCUCCGGAAAUUUAAAGGCUAGUUAGAUAGGUCAAAAGCGAGUGGGCGGAGAGUUUCCAGCAUACUUUGGGCUUAUCAUACUACUAGGCAGAAUCUACGGGCGAAACUCCAUACUCCAUGGUCUUCGCAACUGAAUCGGUCAAUUAGUAGAGAUAGGUAUUCCUGAGCUUCAAGGACUUCGAACUUGACAAGGAAAUGCCGUACGAAUUGAGCUUAUGCCAACUCGACCUCCUCAAUGAAGAAAAGGAGAUGCUGGACUGCGUCAAGCACUUAUCAAAUGUCCAGUCCAAAUACUAAUCGAAGGGUUGCAACACCGAUCAUUCCUUCCUGGCGACCUAGUUUUGCGAAAGGUACCCUAUCCACUAAGAACGAGUGCAGGAAGCUUGGCCUACAUGGAAGCCCUUACAAGUCAUCAGGUGUCUAGACCAGGUACCUACGGGUUGGAAGACUAAGCGGAAAGGCAACUUCCACAGCCUUGGAACGCCGAUUACCGAAGAAUAUUACCAGUAAUAUGCAUGAUCGCCAUUUGAUUCGAUCGCCCAGAGCAACAUCGCCAUGAACAUUCCUUUGUACCGCGAUAAUUUUAUGGCUUGCUAGUCUUUCGAUAAUAAAAUUUAUCCAGUUGAAAAUUGUUAUGAUUCUGCCCAUAAAUUUAUCACGCCAUUGUGCAAGUUUAAUUGCUAGUGGGUAUCGCCAUUAUCGAGAAGGGCCCAUUCAUCACGGAAUGACAUGCUUUUUCUUGAGCGCCAUUAUCGAGAAGGCCCAUUCAUCACGGAUGAAUAGGCCUUCUUGGUCGACAUUACCGAGAACGCCCUACAUACAUAUGAUUCGAGUCCUUCUAACGCCAUGAGAUUCGAUGGUCGCCAAUAUUACUUCGCCUUAUAAGUUUUCGAUCUCCGCCAAAAUAUUAUCGCCUUAAAUAUCAAGUGACUCAACCUGAUAUAAAAAGAUGCGAUAAAAGAGGAACUCGGAAUGAAGUUUAUUUAUUAAUAAAGAUUAUAUCGCCCAGAAAAAUAAAAAAAAAAUUAAAGAGAGUUUGUGUCCUUUUUCACCCCCCUCGUUCUCGCUAACCUUCUCAUUUUCUUUCUCCUCGUCUUGCUUCGCUAAAAGAUCUUGGUCGACCAUAGUGCCUUCAAGAUCGAUGGCGAGAUCAGGGUGAUGCCGACGAAGCCUUAUACCUUGCAGAAGUCAAAUCCUUCGCCGAAAUAUCUGAAAGCAGAAUCUUCGACCGCCACCACAAACUCCGACGAGGAUUUGAACUCCUCAACUGCAGACUCCUUGGCUUUUGCCCAAGGCUUCUCUCAGCUCAACCACCAAGACCCCCGACCUCUCGACCUUGUCGACAAACUAGUCUCGAUAGCCCUUCAUUUUGGCGAGCUCAUCGUUUGCCUGCUGCUCGCGAACUCGGGCCUCAGUCAAUUACUGCUCAAGGUCGGCAAACAACUUCUGAAGGCAAGCAACCUCAGUCUCCAUGGAAGCAGCUCGACCUUCUUGGAAAGAGGCCUGCUCCCCAGCCUCCCUACUCCGGACAACCAGAGACGAGCUGAGCACCAACGCUUGCUAUAAAGAAAAAACACUCUUUUAGAACAAACACUCUUUAAAUAAAUAAAUAUAUAUAUAUAUAUUUGAAAACAUUCCCAAUUGUACUUGGUCGAUCACAUGAAAAAGCUUCGUCGCCGUUUGAUCCAAGGUUAGCUUCUCCACAUUUUCCUUGUCGGUAGGGGGAAUCACCCCCCGCUGCCCAAAAUAGAGGUCGUGGGGCCCAAAGCGGCACCAAGGUUGGCCGAGGUACCUUCCCCGGGACGCGAUGAGGCCGUGACUGGGGUGGUCGGAGCUUUACUCGAAGAGGUCGCCUUCUUCUUGCCUUCAGGCUCGCGAUCAAGCCCUUUCCCCUUCGAGCCAUCAUCGACCUUCCCCUUUUUGCUGGCUGAGCAGUCGAGACUCUCUUCGGUGCGCUUCUCGCCAAUCACUACCCCUUUGGUAGGGGUAGAAAUUCCCGAAGAACUCCCGUUCUUCGACUUCUUGAGUUUUUCGCCAAGCUUUUUGAAGCUGAUCCUCUUCGACAUAGCUACAAAACAACGUGCGAAUCAGACGAGGAAAACAAAAAGUAAUCUCAGAAAAAGAAUGGGGCAAUACCAUCCGAGUCAAGCUCGACGGGUUGGCUCGAAUUCGAACAGGAGCCCGAUGUAGGAUUCCGUGUUUCCCGUUAAAGACACCCUUAAAGCUAUGCUUUGUUAUUCGCACCGCCGUUUUAACAAUCAAUGCUCUCAUUCACGUGUCCAUUUGUAGAGACACGUGUUGCUGUGCGGGCACGUCACCAACCUGCGUGAAUACCACCAAUUACUCGUAAAUCCCUCUAUUCUCCUCGGCAUUUCGAGUAGGGGACUAUUGAUGUGGAAAAAAAUGUUAGUCACGUCGCCUCAUAACAACCUCGCCCACAUGAAUUUUUGGUCGCCAUCUAUGUUACUUUUGAACCACCUCACCUCCAGUCCUCCUCGCCAGAUCAAAGGACUCGGAUCCUCUGCAUCGCAGUUCCACUGCAUCCGAACUUAUCUUCGGAAAUCUCGCCCUAUAAUAAGACCAUUGCAAUCCCUAUGAUGGCGGACUGCUUUCCACUUGGCAUCCUCCCGAGAUCUCCCCGAAAUCACAGGGAUACACUUCCUAAACUGAGUUACCCGGAAAUCUCUCCUGAAUAUUCUCACCCUAAUAUCCAUUCUCCGGCUUUAUAAAGGCCACUCCCCUUUAUACAAAGGUACAGACAAUUUUAAUUAAUACAACUAUAGAAAGCUCUGCUAUUUGAUUUUAGUUUCUCUUCGCCUUGGUCUGAUCGCCACGCCGGAGGGGUUUUGAGUGGCCUCGCCCCGGCCGAUUACGUUUGUUUAUUGCUGUGCAGGUCGCCCAGUUAUUAGCUGAGAUACAGUGCCAAGGCCGAGGAGCAAUUUGACUGUUGGUUGCUCUCCCAGAUUUUUACCACAACAAGCUUUAUUCAUGAAAGUUUAAGAUCAAAACAUAUUCUAACUAAAAUCUUAAUCUCUCAACACUUGAAAACGCUUAACGAAAACUAUGCAAAUUAAAUGACAUGGUAGGAUCAUAGGUCAUGACUAGUAAUUUUCCGGGAAAUCGUUGUGAGGGAUCAAGGAAGACAACAAUCAAAAUGCCAGGACUUGUUACAAGAAUCUCUCUCGACUCUCAGUUUCAUGACAUGCUUGUUUGUUCACAUUUGCCCGUUGUGUAAUUCUUAUCAACCGCAACACGGACAGAGGAAGACAAUUGUUAUGUGGGGUCUUUUCGGAAAAUUACAAAAAUAAACCCAAAUUUUGAUCUUGAUGACAAAUUAAAUCCUAAACUUCUUAACCCAUCAUAAUUGAAAAUAUUCAUCAGUUUUCAUUUAUCAAUCCCUGAACUUUUUAAUCCAUCAUAAUUGAAAAUACCUAUCAUAAUUAAAUUUUGAACUUUUUAACCCAUCAUAAUUGACGAUAACAAAAUGAUUGGGGAAAUGACAUCAAACAAAAUGGGCCUCUUUUAAAAACCUUGAUUCCCGCAAUUAAGAUAUUUAUACAAGCAAAAUCUAGAGAAAGAAAAACCAAAUUGGGUAAAGCAAAAGCUGAAGUUCAAGUAAACUAAAGAAUCUAAAAGUUCUGAAAUCCGAUAUCGUUUCAAUGCUUAGGUUUUUUGUCCCACUGGUCAUUUCCCAAUCACUCCCCUAUUGUUUUACAUCAAGUUACAUAAAUGGAGGCUGCGGAGGGUUUUGAUAUAAGGAUAAAAAAAUCAAAGUUUAAUUUGUUCAAAUAAAAAAUCAGAAUUUAAUUACUUUUAUGCCUUCUAUCUAGAAAGGAGAUUUGUAGUUCGGCAAGGUGGCAAUCUUCAGUUUCCAAAGGGGAACGUUUACCAUGCAGGUCUCUUUACAUGCCGCUACCAAUUCCUUCCCACCUGUGCGAGUUUGGACUUUGUAUUGGGUCAACCCCAACCAUCGGGGCAAUGAUUUCAUUUAUUGGUGUAAGAUCGAUUUUCAAAGAUGGUCCACUUCAUUACCUAGGAAGAAGAGACUGUUUUGCGUAAGUGGCCUAGUUUAUUAUAAUUAGGUUUACAAACUGCACGUAUUGCCUAAAUAAAAUUGUGUCUGAUCGGGAUACUCAUAUUUUGGACCACUUUUGGCGUUUCCUAUCGAAUUGGCAACCACAAAAUUAGACUUCAACAGUGCCUACACCUCAAAACGGAUGGGGCAAGCUGAGGUGGACGUGAAUCUUUUUGCGAAGCCUAGUGAGAAAUCAUGUGAAGAUGUGGGAGUCCAGAAAUUAAGUCAGCGGAGUUUGCCUUUUAAUUCAUUUUGGUCAUCAUAGCACAUGGUUUGUGUCCUUUUGAGAUCGUGUAUGACAUUUAUUCCGUGAGCCCAUCAAUUUGGGCCCAGCUAUAGAUUUGAAGCGGGUCCUGGCAGGCUGAGGAUUUUAUUGAGAAGUUUGUCAGCAAAUUCACAGGUUCAGAAGCAAAGUUGCGUGAAACCACUACUUAUACAAAUACAAGCCUACAAAAGGCAUUUUGUGGAAUUUCAGGAGGGAGAUUUUGUUUACGUUGUCCUACUAUGAUCAAUUUCCUGCAAGCGAGUACAACAAGUUGGCUCGCUGGAAGAUUGGUUUCGUGGAGAUUGUCAAAAAACUAAACACAAAUUGUUUGACUUGAUGGACAAUAAAUCCUAAACUUUUUUAAUUGAAUAAAAGAAUUAUUCUCUUUUGGGAGGUCAGAUCUCUGUUCUGAUUUUUUUUGGCAAUAUUAUUGAUCAUUUUUUGGUUUAAUCUAUCAGUGAUUUUGGUCACAAAUGUAGUACAGAUAGUUCCAUUUAGUUAUUUCAUUCUAAAUUUUGAAUUUUUGGGAACUUUCUAAUUAUAUAGAAAAAUCUCAUUUUCUAGAAAUUUUACCAUUUUUAAUACGUUUAACGCUUUUUUAGCUACUGGUUUAAUUAGCACAUAUUAACUAUCUUAUUGUCUCAAAAAAAAAAAAAAGAAUUCAUAUAUUUGUGGACGGUAUAAUCCUCUAUUAUUUGUUCAUAACUCAGAUUUCACAAUCCCAACACCAAAUUUGAUUACCACUCAUUCGCUAACCGUGUACCUUUAAGAAGCCAAUAUGAUUGUCAUUGCAUUCGGUGAUAGUAGUCACAAGUUGCGUUAGCGUAAGGGGAAGAGCCUUGGAAAAGGAGAAUGAUUAUAGGGAACGGUAUAUAGAGGGAGAGGAGAGAAUGGGUUAACCCCCUUCCGCCCCUACCAGUCGGAGAGGGAAACGGAUACAGGGAGAGCUCUCUAAGACGAGCCUAGGGUUUCGUUGCACUUAUUACUACAUUAUACCCUCCAGAAAUUCAAUGUUUUCUUAAAUUAUUAUUUUUUCAUUAGUAAUUUGACCUCAAAUUUCAUCCUCGCCAAAAUGAUUCAGUAAUUAAAUUGUCCUAUACAAACAUUUUGGUAGUCUAAUUUAUUAUCUUUUAAUCAUGAAAAGCGGAGUUUAUUAAGCCCGAUUGGAUAUACAAAGAAUAAAAAGGAGUGGAUAAAAUAGUAUUAUUAAUACAUCAACAAUUUCCCCCCCCAACCAUGUUGUAACCUCCACUCUAUCCAACAAAUCCUUCCCCAAAAUUUUUAUGAAUAGACACUAAAUGUUUUGUUUCCUAAUUAGUUUAUGAAUAGAAACAAACCAGAGCUUCAAAUCUACGUGACUUCAUUCACAAACCCAAAGGGACAUAACGAAGCAUACAUAUUUGUAGAACAAAAGGACUUACAUCACUCAAUGAAUAAUAUCAUAAUAAUAACUAUAAAGUAAGGAGGAAGGAAUUAAUUGAUUGAAUGAUUAUCAGGUAGAGCCUCUUGAGGAUAGUGUUCUUGUGGUUGGUUUUUGAUCUUGUCAACCACAACCUUGCCCAUCAUAUUCAAAACUGAUGUCUGAUUUUUUGGAAAUACACUACCAUCCUGCUUUUGAAAAUGGACUGUCUUUCUCCAUAGGGCUUGCCUCUCCCCUCUUCCCCUUGCCGGUUCCCUUUUUUCCAUGAUCUUUCUCUCCUCUAUGAGAUGGAUUUUGUGUUUGUGUUUGCUUGGAAAAGAAAAUGCUGGGGGUGCAUUUAUAGAGCAGAUAUCUGUUGGGGGACUUUGUGAUUAGUUUCUAAUUUGCAUCUUCAUGCGUAUUUCGUGGUGCGCGGGGGUGGGGGUGGCUACAAGGGUGAGCAAAUGGUUGUGUGGGUGUGUGGGUGUGGGUGUGUUUUUCAAAAGUGACGACUAUGGAACUGUUGGUUUAGAGUAGUUUUAAUUUGAUGAUCAUAGAAUAAAUUAAAAUUUAAUCCAAAAGUAGUAAUCAAAAAUUCAGAAAGAAAUUCAACACACGGAGAACUACCUAGUUUACUUAUUCAUGUAUAAUAGUUCUAAUCACGAAAAAUAUUUGUAGGAAUACGAUCAGAAUAAAGUAGCAAUUCUAUUUUUAUAAAUAAAUGCAAAUUCAUGAGGAAUUUUCCUCCAGAGUAAAAGCCCACAACAAUCUUUACACAAAAUUUUAGAUCAUUUCAUUUUGUAUAUCGAUGCUCUAACAGAAUUCCUUUUCAUGUUUGCCUUUCACUUGCCUAUGAUCUCCCUCUGACGAGAUUCAAAUUUUGCUUGUAGAUUAUUAAUAUAUCUUGUUUGUUUUAGUUUUAAUUAGGUUAAUUUUUUUUGUUUUCGGGUAUUAUUCCAACCUCAAAUUUCAUUCAAACCACCAUCAUUUCGAGAAACCAAACUUCCCAUUGUGUAAUUAAUGAAAAUUAGCUGUACAAACACUUAGUACUCUAUUGUUUUUUUUACGAAAAAACUAAACCAUACAUUCACCUCAUAUGAGUCCCUAUUCAUCAAUCCCAAAUAUACAAGACAGCUACAUAUUUGAAGGGGAAAAAAAAGUUAAAAAAAAAAAAGGAAAUUACAGCACCAAAUGACUAAAAAAUAACUAUAGUGACAAACUACAUGGUCGCUAUAGUGCAACACAACAAUCAGUAUGUAGUGUAAAGAAGGAACUGCGGAUCAUCAGGCGAGCCAUCCUGAGGUAGUCUUGUGCUUGUUUUUGGUCCUUGUCAUGAAGGACAGUAAAUCACCACCACCUUACCCAUUUCUCAGAACUGAUGUCCUUCUUUUUUGGGAAGACAGAGCCAUCUUUGGUUUUGAGAAGGCCGACUCUUCUCUCCAUAGGAGCUUGCCUCUUCUGACAUCUGCCCUUGGCCUCGUAUUUGCUGGUGCCCUUCGUUUUCCCUCUCUCUCUCCUCUCUCUCUCUAAAGAGGGUGUGUUUAU
rnacentral:lncRNA from 1 species